UGAGGAAUAUUGGACAAUGGGCGCAAGCCUGAUCCAGCCAUGCCGCGUGCAGGAAGAAGCAUCUCUGGUGUGUAAACUGCUUUUGUACGGGAAGAAACACUCCUUCGUGAAGGAGCUUGACGGUACCGUAAGAAUAAGGAUCGGCUCACUCCGUGCCAGCAGCCGCGGUAAUACGGAGGAUCCAAGCGUUAUCCGGAAUCAUUGGGUUUAAAGGGUCCGUAGGCGGUUUAGUAAGUCAGUGGUGAAAGCCCAUCGCUCAACGGUGGAACGGCCCUUGAUACUGCUAGACUUGAAUUAUUAGGAAGUAACUAGAAUAUGUAGUGUAGCGGUGAAAGGCUGAGAUAUUACAGGGAAUACCAAUUGCGAAGGCAGGUUACUACUAAUGGAUUGACGCUGAUGGACGAAAGCGUGGGGAGCGAACA
rnacentral:rRNA from 1 species